GAGGACGGGAGCUGAGGGCUGGGUCUUUGCGGGCGAGAUGAGGGUGUCGUUUCAACUGGCCUACAAAGUCCCAGUCCUCGGCCCCC
rnacentral:pre_miRNA from 1 species